ACGGGUGAGUAAUAUAUCGGAACGUGCCCAGUAGUGGGGGAUAGCCCGGCGAAAGCCGGAUUAAUACCGCAUACGACCUACGGGUGAAAGCGGGGGAUCGCAAGACCUCGCGCUAUUGGAGCGGCCGAUAUCAGAUUAGCUUGUUGGUGGGGUAAAAGCCUACCAAGGCGACGAUCUGUAGCUGGUCUGAGAGGACGACCAGCCACACUGGGACUGAGACACGGCCCAGACUCCUACGGGAGGCAGCAGUGGGGAAUUUUGGACAAUGGGCGCAAGCCUGAUCCAGCCAUGCCGCGUGCGGGAAGAAGGCCUUCGGGUUGUAAACCGCUUUUGUCAGGGAAGAAACGGCUCUUACUAAUACUAGGGGCUAAUGACGGUACCUGAAGAAUAAGCACCGGCUAACUACGUGCCAGCAGCCGCGGUAAUACGUAGGGUGCAAGCGUUAAUCGGAAUUACUGGGCGUAAAGCGUGCGCAGGCGGCUUUGCAAGACAGAUGUGAAAUCCCCGGGCUCAACCUGGGAACUGCAUUUGUGACUGCAUGGCUAGAGUGCGGCAGAGGGGGAUGGAAUUCCGCGUGUAGCA
rnacentral:rRNA from 1 species